rnacentral:rRNA from 1 species
GUCCUUUUGCGAAUAAUUUAAGGUCUGACCUGCCCACUGAAAUUUUAAAUGGCCGUGGUAUUUUGACCGUGCUAAGGUAGCAUAAUCAUUAGUUUUUUAAUUAAAAGCUGGAAUGAAAGGUUGGAUAAGAAAAUGACUGUCUCUAUUAAAUUUUAUUAGAAUUUUAUUUUUAAGUUAAAAAGCUUAAUUAAGUUUAAAAGACGAGAAGACCCUAUAGAGUUUAAUUAUUAAAUAAAAAUUAUAUUUUAGAAUUGAUUUAUUUAUUUUACUAAAUAAUUUAAUUGGGGUGAUUGAAAAAUUUAAUAAACUUUUUUUAUUUAAGAACAUAGAUUAAUGAAUUAAUGAUCCAAUAAUUUUGAUUAUAAGAUAAAAUUACCUUAGGGAUAACAGCGUAAUUUUUUUUUAAAGUUCAUAUUAAAAGGAAAGAUUGCGACCUCGAUGUUGGAUUAAAAUAAAUUUUUGGUGUAGAAGCUAAAAUAUUAGGUCUGUUCGACCUUUAAAAUUUUAC